rnacentral:lncRNA from 1 species
ACAAAUGAUAUAGCUCAAAUUAAAUACUUGGAUAUUUCUAUAAAUAAGUAAAAAUUUCGCUUCCCAAUAUCGGUGGACGCAUCACGCGACCGCAACACACGCCCACACACACAGAGACUACAAACCACCAAACACGCCCUAAUCAAUAGUGAUUUCUGCACUCGCUGCUUAAUUGACACGUGUAACCAUUUACCCAUAUCAAUCAUUAACGACACCGUAAAAAGCCUGUAAUCACAGUUACACAAAUAAAUAGGCAAAUCCCGAAAUCGUAAAUAACUCGAAAAACCAUGUCCUUUACCCUCUGUCCCUGUCUGAUCUCCAAUUCAAUUUUCGAACGCUGCCAUUAAUGACAGUACAUGACCGCAAACCUGACCCUUCGGUGCACUUUAGCAACUGCCAGCCCGCAACUUGACUGCGGACCCAGCCACGUAACGAAUCAGGGACCCAUUCGCCGUCUCCUAUCUCCGUCGGGUUAGCUCACCGCGUCUUUCCCCUGUCACCGUCUGCACGUUUUCCAACGAACCAGCCAGCUGCGCAUGUUAGCAUCACCAGUCCUGUAUUAUUAAACUAUUGGGUUUGUGCCACGUGCCGCGGAUCGUGUCUCACAGCAUUAACGGACCCGCUAAAUAUUCAAUUUGAGGGGAAAAACAAAAAAAGAACCUGCUAAAUAUUUGAUAAUUACGUGUAAGACAAGAUUUACG